UGGGGAAUAUUGCACAAUGGGCGCAAGCCUGAUGCAGCCAUGCCGCGUGUGUGAAGAAGGCCUUCGGGUUGUAAAGCACUUUCAGCGAGGAGGAAGGUGGUGAACUUAAUACGUUCAUCAACUGACGUUACUCGCAGAAGAAGCACCGGCUAACUCCGUGCCAGCAGCCGCGGUAAUACGGAGGGUGCAAGCGUUAAUCGGAAUUACUGGGCGUAAAGCGCACGCAGGCGGUUUGUUAAGUCAGAUGUGAAAUCCCCGGGCUCAACCUGGGAACUGCAUUUGAAACUGGCAAGCUAGAGUCUCGUAGAGGGGGGUAGAAUUCCAGGUGUAGCGGUGAAAUGCGUAGAGAUCUGGAGGAAUACCGGUGGCGAAAGGCGGCCCCCCUGGACGAAGACUGACGCUCAGGUGCGAAAAGCGUGGGGAGCAAAACAGAUUAGAUACCCUGGUAGUCCACGCUGUAAAACGAUGUCGA
rnacentral:rRNA from 1 species